rnacentral:rRNA from 1 species
CCUACGGGAGGCUGCAGUGAGGAAUAUUGGUCAAUGGGCGCGAGCCUGAACCAGCCAAGUAGCGUGCAGGAUGACGGCCCUAUGGGUUGUAAACUUCUUUUAUAUGGGAAUAACGUUCCUUACGUAUACUGUUUUGAAUGUACCAUAUGAAUAAGGAUCGGCUAACUCCGUGCCAGCAGCCGCGGUAAUACGGAGGAUCCGAGCGUUAUCCGGAUUUAUUGGGUUUAAAGGGAGCGUAGGCGGAAGGUUAAGUCAGGUGUGAAAUUUUAGGGCGCAACCCGAGCAUUGCAGUUGGAACUGGCGUUCUUGAGUGCGCGAGAAGUAGGCGGAAUUCGUGGUGUAGCGGUGAAAUGCUUAGAUAUCACGAAGAACUCCGAUUGCGAAGGCAGCUUACUGGAGCGUAACUGACGCUGAUGCUCGAAAGUGUGGGUAUCGAACAGGAUUAGAUACCCUGGUAGUC